rnacentral:rRNA from 1 species
UACAGAGGGUGCAAACGUUGUUCGGAAUUACUGGGCGUAAAGCGCGUGUAGGCUGUCUCGCAAGUCGGGUGUGAAAGCCCUGGGCUCAACCUAGGAAGUGCACUCGAAACUGCGAGGCUUGAGUCCUGGAGAGGAAGGCGGAAUUCUCGGUGUAGAGGUGAAAUUCGUAGAUAUCGAGAGGAACACCGGUGGCGAAGGCGGCCUUCUGGACAGUGACUGACGCUGAGACGCGAAGGCGUGGGGAGCGAACGGG